rnacentral:rRNA from 1 species
GCUUAACGCGAAGAACCUUACCCACCUUUGACAUGUACGGAAUUUGCCAGAGAUAGCUUAGUGCUCGAAAGAGAACCGUAACACAGGUGCUGCAUGGCUGUCGUCAGCUCGUGUCGUGAGAUGUUGGGUUAAGUCCCGCAACGAGCGCAACCCUUGCCAUUAGUUGCUACGAAAGGGCACUCUAAUGGGACUGCCGGUGACAAACCGGAGGAAGGUGGGGAUGACGUCAAGUCCUCAUGGCCCUUAUAGGUGGGGCUACACACGUCAUACAAUGGCUGGUACAAAGGGUUGCCAACCCGCGAGGGGGAGCCAAUCCCAUAAAGCCGGUCGUAGUCCGGAUCGCAGUCUGCAACUCGACUGCGUGAAGUCGGAAUCGCUAGUAAUCGUGGAUCAGCAUGUCACGGUGAAUACGUUCCCGGGUCUUGUACACACCG